rnacentral:rRNA from 1 species
UACGUAGGUGGCAAGCGUUGUUCGGAAUAACUGGGCGUAAGGGAUGCGUAGGCGGUUAAACAAGUUAUAUGUUAAAUAUAUAGGCUUAACCUGUAGAAAGCAUAUAAAACUGUUUAACUAGAGUGCAGGAGAGGUAAGUGGAAUUCCUAGUGUAGCGGUGAAAUGCGUAGAGAUUAGGAAGAACACCAGUGGCGAAGGCGACUUACUGGACUGUAACUGACGCUGAGGCAUGAGAGCAUGGGGAGCAAACAGG